GAUGAACGCUGGCGGCGUGCCUAAUACAUGCAAGUCGAGCGAACGGACGAGAAGCUUGCUUCUCUGAUGUUAGCGGCGGACGGGUGAGUAACACGUGGAUAACCUACCUAUAAGACUGGGAUAACUUCGGGAAACCGGAGCUAAUACCGGAUGAUAUUUUGAACCGCAUGGUUCAAAAGUGAAAGACGGUCUUGCUGUCACUUAUAGAUGGAUCCGCGCUGCAUAGCUAGUUGGUAAGGUAACGGCUUACCAAGGCAACGAUGCAUAGCCGACCUGAGAGGGGGAUCGGCCACACUGGAACUGAGACACGGUCCAGACUCCUACGGGAGGCAGCAGUAGGGAAUCUUCCGCAAUGGGCGAAAGCCUGACGGAGCAACGCCGCGUGAGUGAUGAAGGUCUUCGGAUCGUAAAACUCUGUUAUUAGGGAAGAACAUAUGUGUAAGUAACUGUGCACAUCUUGACGGUACCUAAUCAGAAAGCCACGGCUAACUACGU
rnacentral:rRNA from 1 species